CAAGUAGAGUGAUCGAAAGAUGAAAAGCAUUUUGAAAAGAGGGUUAAAUAGCACGUGAAAUUGUUGAAAGGGAAGGAUUUGUGACCAGACUUUUUCUGGGCGGAUCAUCCGGGGUUCUCUCCGGUGCACUUUGCCCAGUAAAGGCCAGCAUCGAUUUUCGGCGGCGGAUAAAAGCAGUGGGAAUGUGGCUCUAUACGGGGAGUGUUAUAGCCCAUUGUAUAAU
rnacentral:rRNA from 1 species